GCAGGGGCCAGGCAGAAUCCCGCAGACCGAGAAUGGAGGCAGAGACUUAACGGAAUUGGAAGCCUGGGAUCGUUUUUACAGAGGAGGCCCAGGCCCAGGAAGGUACCAGAUGAAGUCCUGGAUGGCGCUGGGGACGCCGCGCAGGGAGAGGAGAAGGUCCUGGUUCUUCUGAGGCUGCUCUGGGAUCUUCUGGAUGUGGAGGGCGGCCUGGGAGCCAUGGGGCAGCCAGAGAGCCAGGAUCAAGGCUGCAGGGAGGUAUGGAGGAGGCCUGAGCUCGGGUGGAGAAAACCAAACUGUCUUCUCUGCUGACUCUCAGCUGGAAGCCAGGACCCUGAGGGCUGCCCAUUGGAAUCGGCGCUGAGAUUGAUUAGUGAUGUCUGCCCUGGGUGCGGGAAUGGGAAUACAGGCACAGAUGCCACCGAUCUGCCACCCCACUGACAGAAGGUUUUGUUUUGUUGCUCUGAGAUGGACCCUCUGUAUUCACUCGUUCAACUAGUAUCUAAAGGUGUAUCUAUUAGUUAUCAUGCCAAUUACAUCACAGGCCUAAAACUC